rnacentral:rRNA from 1 species
GGUUAAGCGACUAAGCGUACACGGUGGAUGCCCUGGCAGUCAGAGGCGAUGAAGGACGUGCUAAUCUGCGAAAAGCGUCGGUAAGGUGAUAUGAACCGUUACAGCCGGCGAUGUCCGAAUGGGGAAACCCAGUGUGAUUCGUCACACUAUCGUUAACUGAAUACAUAGGUUAACGAGGCGAACCGGGGGAACUGAAACAUCUAAGUACCCCGAGGAAAAGAAAUCAACCGAGAUUCCCCCAGUAGCGGCGAGCGAACGGGGAGCAGCCCAGAGUCUGAAUCAGCUUGUGUGUUAGUGGAACGGUCUGGAAAGUCCGACGGUACAGGGUGAUAGUCCCGUACACCAAAAUGCACAGGCUGUGAACUCGAAGAGUAGGGCGGGACACGUGGUAUCCUGUCUGAAUAUGGGGGGA